rnacentral:tRNA from 2 species
AGUCUUAUAAUCAAAAUUAGAUGAUGCUAAAUUGCAAAUUUAGAAGUGAAUAUUUUCUAAGGCUU